UACGUAGGGUGCGAGCGUUGUCCGGAUUUAUUGGGCGUAAAGGGGCUCGUAGGCGGCGUGUCGCGUCGGGGAGUGAAAAGCCCGCUGCUUAACGGCGGGUUGGCUUCCGGUACGGGCAUCGCUGGAGUUGCGGCAGGGGGAGACUGGAAUUCCUGGUGUAGCGGUGGAAUGCGCAGAUAUCAGGAGGAACACCGGUGGCGAAGGCGG
rnacentral:rRNA from 1 species